GUGAAGCCAAAAGAUUUCUUUUACGGGGUAAAAUUAAAUUAUAUAUUUUUUAAAGGAUUCAUUUUGGGAUUAAAGUGCAGUUUUACCAUUACUAAUUUAAACUUUUUUAAUUAUAAAGGGGUAUUAGAAACUUUCCAUUUCAAGAGAGGUCGAGGCCCCUACCGAUCCCUUUAACUUUCGCCCCUGCAAUUAUCAUUAUCUAAUUAAUGGAAAAUAAAUAAAAUUAUACAAUACCAAAGCAUCAAAUACUAAUUCAUUAAAUAAAAAAAUAUUUUACACUUCAAAAUAUAUAUAUCUAAAAUUUAUUAUCUAUAACUUUCAUAAAACAGAAUUAUAAUAAUAUUAAUUUCGAUCAUAAAAUAUAUUACACACUUUAUAAUAAAAUUUAAAUUUAAAACCUAAAUUUAAUAUUUAAUAUUAUGGAUAGUGAUAACCAUGAAUCGGGAGUCAGGAGACAUGCUUUAAAAUUUUCUGUAACGGUGAUGGAUUCAGUUACUGCUAUUACAUGGCAAACUGAAUGUGCAGAAAAAGACCAUGUCACUUGAGAUGCAUGCUGUCUGUUUCCAGAAUCUUGUUGCAUGUUCUUUUAAUAAAUAACACUUAUCUCUGCCGAGCGGGGGAAAAAAACAUAUUGGAUACCUAAAAACAAAUAAAUAAAUAAUAAAUUAUUUAAUUGUCGGUGUAUUGAAACUCUUAAAACAAGAUUGGAUGUGGGUGAGGGUGGGAGUCUACCUCAAACAUGGCCAAAGAAAGCAACCUAAAGAUUCAAACUUCACUUUUUUCUCUAUUUUUCUUCUACAAUCCAUACUUCAAAUUAUUUAUACGAUUAAUAUUUUAAAUCAUUUAAUAAAUAUAAUAUAUAUAAUAUUUUAAUUCGACAUAAUAAAAUAUUAAAUUAAUUUAAAAUUUUAUUUACAUGAUAUUUAUUGAUACAUUUAACGAUUCGAUGUUAAAAUAUUUAUAGUACAAAAUAUUAUUAUAAAUAGAUUCGUUCUCUAUAAAUUAUUAUAUAGUAAAAAUAAAAAAUUUAAAACUUUAAUUUCGUAUAAUAAAAGGAUUAUAAAAACAUCUAGACCGUAAUCAUGCCACUUAAUCUAGACUGUAUAGAUAAGAAUAACACGUCAAAGAUUACAUUAACCAUCAAAUCUAACACUAUAAUUAACACUUGCAACAUUAAUCAUUCACAAUCAUAUUAGCUUUCAAUGAGGGCUAUUUCUGCAUAUGUAGUUUUAAUACUUUAUUAUCGUAAUUAAAAAGAGCAGUAAUGAUAAGUUAUGUGAAUUUUUAUUUUCUAUAAAUUGUUAUUACUUUUCAUGCUAGCUGAUACUUUUUCUCAUUUUAUAUCUGGUUAAAAUUUGGGUUCAAUUUUUAAAAAAUGCCAUUUGUUUAAGUUAUUGCAUUAGAUUGUUUUUUUUUUUGAAAAAUUACGGGACUAGGCCGAAAUAAUGAAACGCUUUCAGUUAGAAACAUUUUUAACGGAUUUACUUACAGCUGAAAGCGUUUUCAGCAUAUUAGCAGAAAGACAUUUCUAAGUAGAAGUGUUUUCAUUUUUUUUGACCUAAUCUCAUUAUUUUUAAAAAUAAAGUAUAAUCCAAUAUAUUUUUUUAAACUGCAUUUUUAGAAAAUUUACUCCAAAAAUUGCUGGAUAUAUUGAACCCUUUCUAGGGAAAAAUCUGAAAGGGUGCUUGAGGGCAUCUCAAAAUGGUCAGUGACCACCCAAAUGGACUGUUACUCAACUAGUUAAACUUCAAAAACUGGGGCUUACGAAGCAUACUUUUUCUGCAUCCAAUUCAACCAAGAAGACCCAAAUCAUGUGACUUCUCUGUCAAACCCAACAAAAUAGGACCCAAAACAUAGGAAAAUAAAUUUAUAGUUGUUAAUUGAUCAAAAAAAUUCGAGAUUCAAUCAAACACUUUCUAUUAUCUCAUUUCUCAUUCGAUGAAGGUUAUGAGAUUUCAAGUGUUUAGGCCCAAAUUUUCUCUCUCUCUCUCUCUCUCUUUUUUUUUUUAUAAAUGAAUUCUGUUUAAAUUUAUUUUUAUUUUAUCAUGUACGAACUCAUAUUUAAAAGUUAUUUUAAUUUAAAUUAAAUUUAAUAAAUACUUUAUAAUAUUUAUAUAGUAAUUUUAAAAUAAUAAAUUUAAACAUACUUAAACACAUUAUGUCCUCUAAUAUAAAACUUUAACAGUAUAUAAGUAGUUCAAGCAUUGAAUAAAAAUAAAACAAUAGUAUAAUAUACUUUAUAACCACUCGACUUUAGUAUAUUUCAUUUUUCAUUAUUAAUCAAAAUAAAUAAUAUUUUCAUCUGCUUUUAAAUAAUUUAAUUUUGAAAUUAAUUCUAUCUAAUUUUAAAAUCAAUUUUUACACUAUUUUUUUUAACAAACAAUUUUUACACUAUCAUAAAUGGAUGUAGUGACUGUUUUUAUAAUCGGUAGGUUUUUAAUAUUAUAAAUUUUCUUAUCUUUUUAUACACAUACAUGCACAAAAGUACAAUAAUAUCACAUACUAGUUUUCGAGUAAAGGUGAGUUUGGAUGGGCGGUACGUUUACCUGCAGUUAGUGUAAAAACAGCGGUGGCAGUGAGAUUAGAUACUGUAGCGAUAUUGUAGCGUGAGACAAAAAGUAAGCUAAACGCAUUGCACCGCACCCAAUCGCCCAUCCAAACCCACCCUAAAUCAAAUUCUAGUACCAGCUUGUAAUAAUUUAAUAUAUGUAUUCUAAUUUAACUAAUUUUAGUUCUAAUUUUUUAAAAAAAAUUGAAAUUAUAAUCAUAACCUAGUUAAAUUUAUUACAUCAAAUUUUGCUAUUAUUUUCAUAAGUUUUGGGUUUAGUUAUUGUUUUCCAAUUUGAUUAUUUUUAGUCAAUAUAUUUUUGAAAUACUAGUCCUUACUAAAACAAUAGUUGUUAAAUCACUUAACUACGAUAACAUAAUUUUUCUAUGAAUAUUAUAUGAAAACAGUAAGUUAACUUGGGACUACACACACGAGAUGAUAUAUUUUGUUGCAUAAUAUUUUCAAAAUAACAGAAUUCAACUUAAUGAAUUUAACAACUACUUUUUGGGUCAAUAAAUAAAUAAAAUAAAAAUGACCAAAUUAAAGUAAAAGGAUUGAAUCCACAACUUAUACAUAAUACAAAGACUAAUAGUAAAAUUUGACAUUUGAAUAUAUUAUAUAUUAAUUAAGCUAUUUUUAUUAUUUUAUUUAUUUUUAUCAUUAUUUAAAAAAAAACUAUAUCAUAUAUUAAUUAUUAAAUACUAUGGCAUGAGUAUACAACUAAUAAAAGUAUAUCUAAGGAAAUAUAAAAGUAAGAGGAAUAAUUACAAUAUCAAACAAAAUUCAACAUUUAUGAAGGAUGAGGUUGAUAGUUAAAUUUAAAUUAAAAUAAGGAUUAUGAUAAAAAUAUUAAAACAUUACUCAACAGAACAAAACUCAAAUAUCAUAGCUGGAAAAAAAAUUAAACAAAAAGAAACGAAUGCAAAAAUGAUACGCAUGUGAUCAGAGGAAAUGAUCGAAUAACACCGCUCCUAGGAUCAUCACCAUGUCUCUUUUUUUUGUUUCCGAGAUCAGGUAAGUUGCUGUUUUGUGUUGUCAAUCCGCGUUUUCUUUCCUUUUUCUUCUUAUUUGUUUGUUCAUUGUGCGUUUCAGUUCGGGUGGGAUGGAGUUUUGGAAUUCACAUUUUACAUUUAAGAGAAGUUAUCCAUCUAUUAUGUCCAGAUUCUUGAAGCAGUUCUUUUGAAGAAUAACAUUCAAAUAUUUUAAAAAGAAACGAAACAGGUGAAGUUAUCCAUCUAUUAUCAUAUUCUUUAAGCAGUUUCUUUUACAUGUUGAUUUUGGCUUCAGUGGUUACAGAGAAUGAUUUCAGCUUCCAAGUUUGUUAAGGGUGGAAGUUUAUUUGAAGAAGAAGAAGAAAGAGAAGGUGGAGAAU
rnacentral:lncRNA from 1 species